GACAGUAUCUGAUUUGCUGUCUGUGAAAGAGUGGGAAAGAGAGCCUAAUCAGAAAGCAGCAGUCAAUCUUGGCUGAGGAGGUAUAUGCUGGAGAAUGAAGCUGCCCAAACCGAUGGGACCUGAGGAGUGAAGCCCUAAGAAAGCACCUCAGGAAAUCAGCCCAAAUUCCCACUACAAAUUUCCUUUCAAACAUUGGCUGAUUCUUAAGUAGCAUAUGCACGGGAUAAGACCCUCAAAACCCACUGAAAAACAGUAUGCAGAAAACUAAAAGCUGAGCAGAGAAGUCGGCAGCCAUGGAGACAGAGACUGGAUUGUUCAAAGCCUGUUCUUCCAGAUUUCUUCUGUCCGCUGAUGGACAACAAAUGGAUUAAAGGACUCAUUCAAAAGACAGAACAGGCCGAGCUCAUGCCUGUAAUCCCAGCACUUUGGGAGGCUGAGGCAGGCCGAUGACUUGAGGUCAGGAGUUCGAGAGCAGCCUGGCCAACAUGGUGAAACCCUGGCUCUACUAAAAAUAAAAAAAUUAGCUCUGUGUGGUGGCACGUGCCUGUAAUCCCAGCUACUUGGAAGGCUGAGGCACGAGAAUCACUUGAACCCAGGAGGCAGAGGUUGCAGUGAGCCAAGGACACACUACUGCACUCCAGCCUGGGUGAUGGAGUGAGACUCUGUCUCAAAAAAUAAAAAAAUAAAAAGUAAAAAUAAAAAGACAGAACAGAUUAUGAUUAGUGUCUUUAAAU
rnacentral:lncRNA from 1 species